rnacentral:rRNA from 1 species
AGUGAACGCUGGCGGUAGGCCUAACACAUGCAAGUCGAACGGCAGCACAGUAAGAGCUUGCUCUUACGGGUGGCGAGUGGCGGACGGGUGAGGAAUACAUCGGAAUCUACUUUUUCGUGGGGGAUAACGUAGGGAAACUUACGCUAAUACCGCAUACGACCUACGGGUGAAAGCAGGGGAUCUUCGGACCUUGCGCGAUUGAAUGAGCCGAUGUCGGAUUAGCUAGUUGGCGGGGUAAAGGCCCACCAAGGCGACGAUCGGUAGCUGGGCUGAGAGGAUGAUGCGCCACAGUGGAACUGAGACACGGUCCAGACUCCUACGGGAGGCAGCAGUGGGGAAUAUUGGACAAUGGGCGGAAGCCUGAUCCAGCCAUACCGCGUGGGUGAAGAAGGCCUUCGGGUUGUAAAGCCCUUUUGUUGGGAAAGAAAAGCAGCAGGUUAAUCCCCCGCUGUUCUGACGGUACCCAAAGAAUAAGCACCGGCUAACUUCGUG